UACGAAGGGGGCUAGCGUUGUUCGGAAUACUGGGCGUAAAGGGCUCGUAGGCGGCCGCUUAAGUCAGACGUGAAAUCCCUCGGCUCAACCGGGGGCACUGCGUCUGAGACUGAAUGGCUUGAACCCGGGAGAGGGAUGCGGAAUUCCCAGGUGUAGCGGUGAAAUGCGUAGAUAUCUGGAGGAACACCGGUGGCGAAGGCGGCA
rnacentral:rRNA from 1 species